rnacentral:siRNA from 1 species
CAGUGUUUAUACGGGCAAGU